UUUUUUUUUUUGUCUUUCCCCCUCCCAUUAUCGACUUCCCUGUGAGGUCACCAAGACAGCGGCCAGCCAGGGACGAGGACCACAAGAGGUGGAGGAGAAUGAGGAAGAGGAAGGACGGUGGAGAGGCGGAAGAAGAGUGGAGGAGGAGGCUGUGUGGAGUGGUGGUGUGCUGGAUGGAGACUUGACAACGGUAUCUGGUGUGCUGGAUGGAGCCUUGACAAUGGUAUCUGGUGUGCUGGAUGGAGCCUUGACAACAGUAUCUUCACACGCCUGCCAGAGGACAACCAAGAAAAGAAGAAAGAAGAAGAGAAGGAAAAAGACAGAAGAGAAAAAGGCUGUCACACAUACAGGAAUUGCAGCAUCAAGAGGAAAGAUUCAGGUUAUAUAUAAAUUUAAAAUGCA